GACGAACGCUGGCGGCGUGCUUAACACAUGCAAGUCGAGCGGUAAGGCCCUUUCGGGGGUACACGAGCGGCGAACGGGUGAGUAACACGUGGGUGACCUGCCCUCAGCUCUGGGAUAAGCCUGGGAAACUGGGUCUAAUACUGGAUAUGACUCCACGGUGCAUGUCGUGGGGUGGAAAGCCUUGUGCGGCUGAGGAUGGGCCCGCGGCCUAUCA
rnacentral:rRNA from 1 species